rnacentral:rRNA from 1 species
GAACGCUGGCGGCAGGCCUAACACAUGCAAGUCGAGCGGCAGCACAAGGGAGUUUACUCCUGAGGUGGCGAGCGGCGGACGGGUGAGUAAUGCCUAGGGAUCUGCCCAGUCGAGGGGGAUAACAGUUGGAAACGACUGCUAAUACCGCAUACGCCCUACGGGGGAAAGAGGGGGACCUUCGGGCCUCUCGCGAUUGGAUGAACCUAGGUGGGAUUAGCUAGUUGGUGAGGUAAUGGCUCACCAAGGCGACGAUCCCUAGCUGUUCUGAGAGGAUGAUCAGCCACACUGGGACUGAGACACGGCCCAGACUCCUACGGGAGGCAGCAGUGGGGAAUAUUGCACAAUGGGGGAAACCCUGAUGCAGCCAUGCCGCGUGUGUGAAGAAGGCCUUCGGGUUGUAAAGCACUUUCAGUAGGGAGGAAAGGUAGCAGUUUAAUACGCUGUUGCUGUGACGUUACCUACAGAAGAAGGACCGGCUAACUCCGUGCCAGCAGCCGCGGUAAUACGGAGGGUCCGAGCGUUAAUCGGAAUUACUGGGCGUAAAGCGUGCGCAGGCGGUUUGUUAAGCGAGAUGUGAAAGCCCUGGGCUCAACCUAGGAAUAGCAUUUCGAACUGGCGAACUAGAGUCUUGUAGAGGGGGGUAGAAUUCCAGGUGUAGCGGUGAAAUGCGUAGAGAUCUGGAGGAAUACCGGUGGCGAA